ACUUUUUCUCCCAAGCUUCUUUAACCAAAAGGAAUAAAAUAAAAAGCUCGAGUAUAACACAUAAAAACCCUGAAAAUCCUUUAGCAUUAUUCCUGUUGCUAUUUUCAAGAUUUACAGUUCUAAACAUAAGCUGACUAGUAUUUUCAUUCUCAAAUUAUAUCUCCAUUGCCUACUUGGCAUGGGUACAAUUAUUCAUAGCUAUAUGCAAUAUGUUGUUACAUGCAAAACAGUAUCUGUAGCUACGUUUUACAUACUGUCAGCAAUAUUCAACUGAUUCAUCUCUGUAAACAGUUAUUCAAAAUGACAAAUCUGUGUAUCAAAGAGAAACUAGUAACCAUGAAUGGGGUCUAUUUUGUCCAAUAUUUCACUAUUAACUCCUUCCUUGCAUUGAUCAUGUGACUAACUUUAAAGAUAACUUUAGAGACCUAUAUAAGUUAUAUAUUCUUUGUAAUCUAAUUAUUCAAAUUAAAAAUAACAUUUGUUUACUUAAUCAAUUCCCUAUAACUACUAGAAAAUAAUUCACAAAAAUCUUUACAUGUGUAUCCUGUAGAAAAACCAACGUGGGCCCAGAUUAAUGGUGUUUUGUUAAAACUUUCAAUUAUGAAAUGCAAAUCGGGAAAAAAAGCAAUACAUAUUCAUUACAGAUGCAACUCUUUUGUCAGAAUUCAUAUUUUCUCAUAAGAGAAAUUCUUUAUCAACAAGAGAUCUGAACUGGAAACACCGGUAUUGGCAAAGAGCAUAGAAGUCUAAAAACAUUUUAAUUUGAGAGUACAGAGAAAAUACAUCAAGAAAGCUGGAAAGUUCUUUCUUUUAAGACCAAGCUUGAAAUGUAAUACUAAGGGAAUAAUUUGGCAACAAGACAGAAUAGCAUUUUUAGAAAUGUUUUAAAUGAGUUAUAGGCUCUCAGCAAGGUAUUUCUGGAAAAUCCUGUCUAUUAGAAAGAAAGUCAGAAAAAGACAACAAAUUCUUUGAGAAUAUGGCCAAUUUUAUACAGAGUCUU
ensembl:lncRNA